GUUGGAAGAAGUGUUGCUUGCACGCCAGGAAACGAUUUCCUGUUCAGACUGUACGAAAAAAAUACGAAAAGCAAAAAAAAGGAUGAAUUCUGGUUUUGCUGCCCGUUGCCUGCACCAAAGUCCGGUGACAUGGUAAAAACAGCGAGUACGGUAAACCACCCGUCAUAGGUAAACCGUUGACCUAGUAUAUGGGUGCGAAAGGUUCAGAAUGAAAUGUGUGCCUUCCGCGCUGUUUCGACUCGUACAUCAAACAAGUCGGGUAGAGAGCCAACCAAUGGUAAGGAGCCGCUUUUUUUUUUCUUUUUUUGUUUUUCGUUCACCG